UAAAAAAAUCCAUUACAACUCAAUUUAGAAAAGGCGUGUCCUUCAAAUUUCUCAAGAAACGUUUCAAACCAAAACUUCACCUCAACCCAAUAUUAUAUUCUCUUCUCCAAUCUUUCCCAACUAUUGUGCAACAUCUCUAUGAAAUUGAACUUUGCAAUGUUUCCUAAUUUUCCUCCAUGGCCUGAAUUACACACCGUGAGAAAAGUCAGAAGUGCUUUUAUUCUGUUCCCAAAUCAGAAUGGACAUUCAAUUCAAAAAGUGCUUUAGUGGAACCACACCACAUCUACUCAAAAUGAUGCACAUUAUCUCUUCGUAUUUUGCCUUCUAACUAUGUGCUUGCAUUAUUGUGUCACUCCAGUGUCUUCGUUUUUCUCUUUAGUCCUUUCUAUUCUUUAUAUUUAUAGGAAAAAUGAUGGGUGUGUUAGAGUUGUAGAAGGAUCUAAAUAAGAAAAGGAAAGUAUCCUUUGGUGAUUUUAUCGGAGAGAAGAACGAUAGUUUUAGAGAAGAAAUUAGAUGAGGAAGAAUGUGAUUUGAUUGGUGAGAAGAGAAUGGUAAGGUAAAACAGAGUAGCUUAUUUUUUUUCCUUUUUGUCAGUCUCUCGGCUGAUGUAAUAUACUUGCAUUUACUUGAAUCAUAUUUUUUGUAAAAUUACUUUAGGAAAAGAUAUUAAAUUAAAUUAGACUCACGCUCACUGUAAUAGGUGUAAAUGCUUAAUAUUUUUCAAAAUGUUGAUUAAUUUGAUUUAGGUAAAACAACAAAGAAAAGGAUAAUUGUUGAAAAUGAGUGUCGAUAUGCAUUUGGGUGCGCGUAUUUACUGCUAAACUUCAUCUUAUCAUGUUACAUGAUAAGUUUAUUAAUGUCCUACAUUUCAAACCAAAACUUCACCUCAACCCAACAUUAUAUUCUCUUCUCCAAUCUUUCCCAACUAUUGUGCAACAUCUCUAUGAAAUUGAACUUUGCAAUGUUUCCUAAUUUUCCUUCAUGGCCUGAAUUACACACCGUGAGAAAGGUCAGAAGUGCUUUUAUUCUGUUCCCAAAUCAGAAUGGACAUCCGAUUCAAAAAGUGCUUUAGUGGAAUCACACCACAUCUACUCAAAAUGGUGCACAUUAUCUCUUCGCAUUUUGCCUUCUAACUAUGUGCUUGCAUUAUUGUGUCACUCUAGUGUCUUCGUUUUUCUCUUUAGUCCUUUCUAUUCUUUAUAUUUAUAGAAAAAAUGAUGGGUGUGUUAGAGUUGUAGAAGGAUCUAAAUAAGAAAAGGAAAGUAUUCUUUGGUGAUUUUAUCGGAGAGAAGAACGAUAGUUUUGGAGAAGAAAUUAGAUGAGGAAGAAUGUGAUUUGAUUGGUGAGAAGAGAAUGGUAAGG